AUGGCGAUGCCGCAGAAGAGGCGCCGCCGCCGGAGGAGUCCUCUUCAGGAAGGAGUGUCCCGCCGGCGCCCUGGUGAAGAUGGCGCAUCGUUGUCUGGAUCCCUUGUCGAUUCGGAUAGCAGCAGCAGCCGUUUGGACGGAGGCUCUCCGCCGCCCGGACUCCCCGACGAGCCUGUUACAUCCUCAACAGAGUCAAGGUACCAUGAAAUCAUCGCCUCGCGCCUCGCCCAGUUGCAAUUACCAGUCGGCGACGACGGCUCGGAUAUGGCCGGUUUCUCAAAUCUCCCUUCCAUUGAAAUCCUCGAAGUCCUUGCUCGUAAAUCUUUCCACGAUGACUAUUCGCGAGCUGCUCUGCUAGAAUACCAAUGCCAGAAGUUCUUGAACGAGACCCAGGGACGAAAUACAGAUUCUGGAGAAUCUGAGUCGGCCAUUGUUGAUACGGGUUCCACUUACACUGAACCCGGCGAUGUUAUCACGGAGGUGGAACACAUGAGAGACUGUGAACUACUAGGGGCUGCCAUGGAUGAAAUUGACACUUGGACCAAACUGGACCAAGAGCAGGCCAACAAGCUCCAUCUCAAGUAUGCACUCUAUCGCAUCAAAGCUUGCCUGCUGUUGAAAGGAAAGCCGGUUGUCGAGCUGGAUGAUGAUGUUGCAUUGGAACGCAAGUACCCUCCAGAGCUUAUCGUGAAGAACAAGUACUUUUUUCACUAUGAGGAUGACCUCUUUGGUUGGUAUUUUGAUGCCGAACUCUGUUACAAAGCGUCCUUGAGCGACUACCAGCGGCUAGUCCUUUUAAAUGAUGGUGAUGAGUAUUCGAGUUGGAGAAGAUACCAAACAUUUUAUAGCACCCCUGAAGCUGAUAGAGAUUAUCUCAGCUACUGGGAAACAAUUGCGAAGGAACUUAAAUGGCUUGAGCAGUAUCUGCUGACAAACGAGUCUUCUAUCGAGUGGGCGCAUAAACAUUCAAAGGCUACGUUCCAAGCAAUUAGGAUCGCUUCUAAGUUUCCCUGCAUGACCCUGAAACUUGCAGCUGUUGGUUUACAUGAGUAUAUAUGGAAUGCGCGCAUACAUCUCAUGUUUGUGAAAGAUCUUGAUGGUAUCUUGUAUAAUAUUUGGAGGCGGCUCAAUGCGGAUCAUCAGCUGCGUUUCAGAGAUGCUCUCAAGCAAGUUUAUGAGGCUAACUUGUUUCCAGCACACGACCGCAGUAUGAAGUAUGAGCUGGAGUACGGCGAUUCCAAAAUGGACCUAGUAUUUGUUAAGUGCACGACGGGCCUUAGUGACGGUGUUCCAGAAGAUAGAGCCCGUGAGCUGAUUAAACAGGAAAUUCGCUGGACGCGUGAGUCGUCAGGAACGUAUGAGCGGUACGCCAGGAAGAAGCUCAAGAUUGCAGAACUGAUAGGAUUAAUUCCCAAGGACAAGAUAGCAACUGCGUAG
rnacentral:rRNA from 1 species